GCUCUCGUGGCGAAACUGGCAGACGCGCUGGAUUUAGGUUCCAGUCCUUCGGGGUGAGGGUUCGACUCCCUUCGAGAGUACCA
rnacentral:tRNA from 1 species